UUUACGAGUUGUGCAGGCCUGCUGACGGCAUUCGCGGGGCUUCUUGCUCGUGUGGAUUCUCUGAUGCUGAAUAAGGUGAGAGCUGCGAUUGAAGGUUUUCCCGCACUCACUGCAUUCAUAGGACCCCUCCUGUGUGUGGAUUCUCUGAUGCUGAAUAAGGUGAGAGCUGCGAUUGAAGGUUUUCCCGCACUCACUGCAUUCAUAGGACCCCUCCUGUGUGUGGAUUCUCUGAUGCCGAAUAAGGUGUGAGCUGCGACUGAAAGUUUUCCCGCACUCACUGCAUUCAUAGGACCCCUCCUGUGUGUGGAUUCUCUGAUGCCGAAUAAGGUGUGAGCUGCAACUGAAAGUUUUCCCGCACUCACUGCAUUCAGAAGGGAGAGGAUAGCUCAGUGGUUUGAGCAUUGGCCUACUAAACCCAGGGUUGUAAGUUCAAUCCUUGAGGGAACCAUUUGGGAAUUGGUUCUGCUUUGAGCAGGGGGUUG